AGAGUUUGAUCAUGGCUCAGAGUGAACGCUGGCGGCGUGCUUAACACAUCCAAGUCGAACGAGAACGGAUUAUAGCUUGCUAUAAUUGUCAGCUAAGUGGCGGCACGGGUGAGUAAUGUAUAGGUAAUAUGCCUCUUACUAAGGGAUAACAAAUGGAAACGUUUGCUAAUACCUUAUACUCCUUAUUAACAUAAGUUAAUAAGGGAAAGAUUUAUUGGUAAGAGAUUAGCCUGUAUUGUAUCAGUUAGUUGGUGGGGUAAUGGCUUACCAGACCUAUGACACAUAACUGGUUUGAGAGGAUGAUCAGUCACACUGGAACUGAGACACGGUCCAGACUCCUACGGGAGGCAGCAGUGGGGAAUAUUGCACAAUGGACGAAAGUCUGAUGCAGCAACGCCGCGUGGAGGAUGACACAUUUCGGUGCGUAAACUCCUUUUAUAUGAGAAGAUAAUGACGGGAUUAUAUGAAUAAGCACCGGCUAACUCCGUGCCAGCAGCCGCGGUAAUAC
rnacentral:rRNA from 1 species